rnacentral:rRNA from 1 species
UGCAGAAUCCCGUGAAUCAUCGAGUUUUUGAACGCAAGUUGCGCCCGAUGCCAUUUGGCAAAGGGCACGCCUGCCUGGGCGUCACGU